UUUCCGUAGGUGAACCUGCGGAAGGAUCACUCAUAAUCAAGUGUUUUAUGGCACUUUUUAAAAAUCCAUAUCCACCUUGUGUGCAAUGUUAGAUCUCGUCAAUCUUGGCGAGAUUUUUAUACAUCAACUCAUUCUUUAACUAAUUUGUCUGAAAAAUAUUAUGAAUACUUAAUUCAAAAUACAACUUUCAACAACGGAUCUCUUGGCUCUC
rnacentral:misc_RNA from 1 species